rnacentral:rRNA from 1 species
UACGGGGGGGGCAAGCGUUGUUCGGAAUUACUGGGCGUAAAGGGCGCGUAGGCGGCCUGCUAAGUCGGGGGUGAAAGCCUGUGGCUCAACCACAGAAUUGCCUUCGAUACUGUUUGGCUUGAGACCGGAAGAGGUUAGUGGAACUGCGAGUGUAGAGGUGAAAUUCGUAGAUAUUCGCAAGAACACCAGUGGCGAAGGCGGCUAACUGGUCCGGUUCUGACGCUGAGGCGCGAAAGCGUGGGGAGCAAACAGG